rnacentral:rRNA from 1 species
GACGAACGCUGGCGGCGUGCUUAACACAUGCAAGUCGAACGGUGAAGCACCUUCCUUUUGGUGGGCGUGGAUGAGUGGCGAACGGGUGAGUCACACGUAAGUAACCUGCCCCCUUCUUCUGGAUAACCGCAUCAAAGUGUGGCUAAUACUGGAUAUUCUGCGCCUGUCGCAUGGCUGGCCUGGUUACGAUAUUGUUUCGUUGGGGGAUGGGCUCUCGGCCUAUCAGCUUGUUGGUGGCGUGAUGGCGUUGCGAGGCGGUGCCGGGUAGCCGGCCUGAGAGGGUAGACGGACAGACUGGGUGUGAGACACGACUCAGACUGAGACGAGAGGCAGAAGUGGAGGAUAGGGAACAAUGGGCGCAAGUGUGAUGCAGGCAGGCCGCGGGAGGGAUGGAGGCGUUCGGGUGGUAAACGUCUUUCGCUAGUGAAGCAGGUCUGUCCCUUAUGUGGGUGGGGUGACGGUAGCUGGAUAAGAAGCGCCGGCUAACUACGUG